rnacentral:snRNA from 8 species
AUACUUACCUGGCAAGGGAGAUACCGUGAUCAAGAAGGCGGUUCACCCAGGGCGAGGCUCAGCCAUUGCACUCCGGCUGUGCUGACCCCUGCCAAUUUCCCAAAUGUGGAAAUCUCGAUUGCAUAAUUUAUGGUAGUGGGGGGACUGCGUUCNNN